GGAAAACUCCCGGCCUGGCCUUGACACUCGAACAUGUGGGUCCUGGAAAUUCAGGGACUUUCUGCUUCCAAGUUAACUUUGACCAAGCUGGAACGUGACUUUUGGAGAAAUGGUUGCCAGUCACUUCUACUGGCAAACCACGUGGACGCGCCUUUUGUAAAGUGUCUUCAGAGCUUUUACAAGACAAUUCUUUCCUCUAUUAGUGGUAACCAAAUUUAUCUCCUUCUCUGAUCCAUUUUCCUCCUACCUUUAUUGCUAUAGCUUAAAAUCAGAGACCAGAUUCAGGGUCUAAUCACCAGCUCCAGGCCUGGGUUUUGCUUUUAAAGAGGUCUGUUCUCAGGUGACGUGAUGGAAGACAGAAAGCUUGUUUCAGCAAGGACUUCAUAGAAUCAGGUGAGCUGGGCUGGUGGUGCAUGAUUCACGUGACAGUCGUUUUAAUCAUCUGUGCAUUAUAAAUUUGAUCUACAGAAAAUUAUUCUCAAAAACAACCAUGGAGUCUCCAGAUUUUCACACAAUGUCUAGGUGUUUAGUGGAGCUCUAUGGUAUCGUUCAAAGAAUUAAUUAAGAGUAAAUGACUUUGAACCUCGCAUGCCAACCCCCCCGUGUUUGUGUGUGUGUGUGUGUGUGUGUGUGUGUGUAUAAUCAGUCAAGAAUUGAUCCACACUUUUUUUUGUAUGUUUUUAGACAAGAUCGUAGUGCAGAAUGAUCUGAAACUAAUUGCAAACAUGAGAAUAAUCUUAGAUUCCUGAUUCUUCUAGCUGUUAUCUACUUGUAAAUCCAAGCUGGAGCUACAAAAUCAUUUUGGAAACACAGUUGGACAAUAUUUUGAGCAUGCCAUGCAGUAAGAACUGAUGGGUGGCCAGGAGUGGCCGCCCUUUUAACAUGUUGACACAAUGGUACCUACAAAGUUCACACCCAAAACCACACAGUCCAGUUACAAAAAAAUAAAAACCACUCCAAAUGAGGUUAUGAUUUGUGUUGUGCUCCAUUCAUCCCUGCCCUUGGAGCCUCAUGUGGCCUGUGGAUCACAGGUUGGAUAUGCCUGGACGAAGCAACCAGAGGAGUUUGGCAUACCUACUUCCCUGAAAAUGUUACAUGCCUAAAAUUACCUACUUCACAAAAAUCUUUGUUGUGAACUCUCCCGGUGUACCUGUCUUUUUCUUCCUUUUUGGUGGCAAUAGCAAGGUCCUCAGUCAUGUAAUUCACCAUUUUCAACCUUGGCUACACGUUCAGGCCGUCCUCAGUGGCCUCUUCCUAGUAUCAAUAAGAUGACAUCAAGUCUCGAUGAGUCAAUCUGUCUGCCUACAUUGGUCCUCACAUCAUUUCCCACAGUUUGAUGAAGAUCGAUGUUGAGUCUUUAUUAUCUAUUUUAGUCUCCUGGUCCCUCAUGCAGUCACCCUCUGCUGAAGAGCAUAGACUCUGUCCUCCCAACCCUUUAAAACUUUGCUUCAUGAAUCUCAGGCAACUUCCACUAGACCUCCUUCCUCACACCAACCCCUCAGUUAAAUAAUCUCUCAAAACUAAUAAUAAUAAUUAUUUUAUUUAUAUAAUAAAACCUUGAUUUGGAUUUAAUUUCAACAAGUAAAUUAAAAUAAAUUUUAAAAAGUUUGAUAAUUUUUAACAUCUCUGUGGCUGGCCCACAGACCCACCUAGGAUGCACAAAAUUGCUGGCGACCACAAGACCACAUUUGUGGAAUACUCGUCCAUCCAUCCCACCGCUAAUGUGCAUUCUGCAGAGUGAAAAGGAUCAAAUGUGACUUGUGUCAAGUUACGUUUCCUUUAUUUCUUACAGUGCUUUUUAAUUCUUCUUUAUUGAUUGCAGAAAUUUUUGAUUUAUUGAUUUGUCAGCUUUCCUAGUCUAUCUGCUUCAGUGCUGGGAAACUGAAGUGUGCGGAAAGACCAAGGCUGACAAGUAGAAACUUAAAGACCCAACUUAGCAGCCAUCAACGAACCAGACACUAGUAAUGAUUCUGCAGAGGGCUUGCUGGGUUAACUGGCUAUGUGCUUUGGGACGUGAAUGGUUGAUCUUUAAGGCUUAACUCAGGAUCCGCUGUUCACACACACUGGCAUGUUUACCUAAAGGAAAAUUACAGAACGAGCUGUGUCCAGAAUCCUCGGGUACUCCCCUUCAUCCGGCCUCUUGUUUCUUUGGAUAUUUUGCUCAGUUCAAAACCUUGAUUUCCCAGCAUGCCCUCUGCUCUAUUGGGCUACACAUGCGCAUGACUUGAGUGUGAACAAUUGGAUGUGUGAGAGCCGUCUGUUUGAAAUGAGGAAGAUAAGCCUAGGGGCUUCUCAGAUUUUCCCUUUACUCUGAACAUGGGGUUGAAGUUGGGAAUGAGGAACGUGAGAAGCUUGGAGUCUGCUGCUGAGGUAAGACUGCCCCUCCUGCCACUGAGGUAGGUAAGCCCCUGAACAUGAUGAUUUACCUCUUUGCAACCCCAGCUGCUGUGUUUUUCUGGGCUGUGAGGUCAAAUUUUAUUUCCACAGGAACCCUAGAACACACAGGACACCACAGUUUCAGCUCCAUCUUGCUUUACCUCCAGUUUCCUCCCAACUCCAAAGGAUGAAGAACAGGGAGCCUCUCCAAGACACACACUGGGAAAUAACCCUUCCCAUUUGUUUACCUGAGUUUGGAACUGGAAGCACAUCUAGUGCUUCAAGCCAAGAGUACUUCCCCGAGACUGCGGGAACCUCGGCAAGAAGAUGUGGACACUUCUGAAGAGAAUGGAGGACACGAGAUUUUCCUCUGGAUUGGGCGCUGUCAGAAGACAAGUGAAACCAGCAUGAAUAAUAUGGCUCUGCCAUGAUUGACAGCAAGUUGGUCAUGCCAUAGAGGCCAAGCAUUGUCUGUCAGGUAGCUCCCUGAUGUUUCACCCUCGUUCAUGUGACUUGACAGUGACAGAAUCCACAUGAGAGCUAGGACACAGCCCUGACCCAGCUCAGCAGAGUUUUGUGAUGCCAGUCACAUCUUUUUCAUCCAGGUCUUUCAAUGGAUUACUCAAUACCUGACAGCUCUAAUGGUCUGACUUUGGAAGUCUGCUGGUCUUUGUCUGAUUGACGAUUCUGGCAUCAUCGUGCGAACCAUGAAGUCUGAGCCAGUGAGUUCCUUGUCUCCAGGAAUUGUCCUGUGAUUCUCAAGCAGGCACCACACCUCAGAAAGGAAACAGGUGUCGCCCUGGAAGGUAGCAGGCUUUCAAAAGCCUUUCUAUGUACCCACCUGGAAUUUCAGCAUCUGGGGGGCUGAGACAGAGGCAUUAUAUGUUUGAAGUCAGCCUGAGCUAUAUGAAAAGUGCCAGAUCAGCUGAAACCUCGCGUUAGAAAGUAAGCAGAGACCACCACUAACAAAAGCAGUUCAUGUGAAGCUAAAAAUUUGGGAAUGUAAGAAGUACUCCACUGUGGAUAAACCUGGGUCGGGAUUUGACUUGGAAUAACAUUCGGGGGAGAAAAGAAUUCACAGGCUGUCCGGUGUGUCUAGAGCACUAGAGAAGGUCGUGGGUCGGAAUGGGGUGUUCACGGGUCCAGGCUGUGGGCACUCCGGAAAAUAAUAAAGCAGACACAAACAGGAUACUUAAAGCCAAAAUAAAGAUUCUUUGGAAUCAGACGGAUGAGUCUCUUCUAAUGCAGAGGUCCUGAAGGACAAUGUCUGGAGCCGAAGGCUAGAUGCAGGAACUCUCAUGGAGGGAAAACGACUUUUGGGCAGUCUUAAUUUACAAAAAGACACUUAAGAGGCUGAGUCACACACUCUCAUCCCACCAAGGACCUUGAAGGACCAGGGACUAAGGUGGGUGCAUUAGGGGACAUUUCCUUUUUUGGCCUUCAGAUCACACUUUGAAGAACUGAGGCAGAUGGGAACUCGUGGUCCAUGACUGGAUAGCUCUGAGUGAACUGUGGGGUGGAGAUAUUUAUGCCGGGUCACCGAGUUCAUUUGCACCCCGGAUAACCAGACUGCGGAGUGAGCUACUGAGCGUGAAGGACACAAGACCAGAAUCUCAGAGGUGGAAAUGCUCUCCAGUUUUGAGGUCUUGCUCACAAUGCAGUGAAAACGCGUAAAACUGGGUGAGGUGAGGUAGCAUCACCGAAGAGACAGGGGCAUUCCAGCUGAGAAUGCUUCCUUUAAAAGAGACUACACCAAGACAACUAGACGCUUGAGCAAGCAGAGGCUUGCUGUUCCCAAGACUGCUCUCCAGAAAGGUAUGGGAAGCCCACUCUGGAGACAAGAUCAAAUGAAAGAAUGACCUACAUUUUAAACAGCCCAGGAUAGAAAGUCUCGGAACUGCCAUGUUAACUCCACUGUCUGCUUGUCUCUGUUACUUCCUUUAACAGUGUGUUGUCACCUGCAAUGCCCUUGGAAAAAAAUGCUCACCACUAGAGGCAAAUUCUAAUUAACUCAAUCCAUCCUCAAAACAGACCCCUGAGGAAGGUGGAGUUGCCACCCCUGUUUUGUGAGGAAACUGGAGUGCAGAGAUGUGAAAGAAACCCUUUCCCAUCAUUCACGCAGGUAUCCAUGAGGCUGGACCAGGCACCCACACCCAACGUUCUGGCUACAGACUGCCUGCUCUCACCGCUUUCUCCCAACAUUACUUCUCUCUAUCUGUGACACUCAAGAAAUAAACUUGGCAACCACAAAGACAAUUUUCUGUCUUAGUAAUCCACUUUGAUUCUGCUUCCCCUUCCUGGGAUGGGCAUGGCGCUAUGGUGAUUAUCUAAGCCAUCUGGGGACUGCGGACACACACUCUUUGUUUAUAGAAGACUUGGAGGUCCAUUAAAGGUUCAGUGAGGUGUCGGUUCUGCUCGUUCACGAUAGCAGCGGAUGCUGGCUUUCCCUCCCACGUUUCCCAGUAUCCCUUCAACUGGUUCAGUGAUCUUUCCUUGGCUCCAUUUAUCUGGC
rnacentral:sRNA from 1 species